rnacentral:sRNA from 1 species
AUAUCUCUCUGUACGGGAAGGAUGAGAAGCUUCGACCAAGGUUCGAUUCGAGCGCAGCGAGAAAGCGUUGCCGCAGGCAAC